UCUAAAAUGGCAGAGUUAAAUGCCUAAGACUUAAGAUCUUAUAACAAGGGGUUCCUUUUUUAGAA
rnacentral:tRNA from 1 species